GCUGGGCGUGGAGGCUCACGCCUGUAAUCCCAGCACUUUGGGAGGCCGAGGCGGGUGGAUCACCUGAGGCCAGGAGUUCGAGACCAGCCUGGCCAACAUGGUGAAACCCCGUCUCUA
rnacentral:SRP_RNA from 1 species